AAAUUGCACCAGGAGGGUUUUGAGUUCUGGCUCUAAGGUGGUUUUCCCAGAGUGAGGCUCAUCCAUUGCUUCCCGGGUGUGNUGACCCCUGCAAUUUCCCCAAAUGCAGGAAACUNGACUGCAUAAUUUGUGGUACUGGGGGACUGCGUUUGCGUUUUCCCCUA
rnacentral:snRNA from 1 species